CCUGAGAAACCCAAAAGAUCGAAUGGGGAGAUUCAUCGUCAGCGUGAUAUGGCGCUUGUGCGGUUCGCGAUGCCGGGGACCUCGGUCUCAAGGCACGCGUCCGCAUGGUUUUUUUGCCUGUCAUCGUCGGCGUGCACUUCUCCCCUAGUAGGACGUCGCGACCCGUUGGGUGUCGGUCUACGGCCCGGGUGGUAGCCUGUCGUGUGUUACGUGCUUGCGCGUCAUGUGGCAGACCCCCGGUUGUCUGACCAGCUGCCCGGCGGUACUCGCACGGUAUCGAGCCGCAAAUUGAACUGCGUCCGGCCCGUCGCAAGCGAGGUCAGUGUUUACCCGGAUGUACGGACCUAGCGCCGUCACCGGGCCUGACCAGCUGUUGGUUGAUGGUGCUCUGGGACUGGCUCUUAUGGUUACCGGUCAGCGACGCUACUGCUUUGGGUACUUUCAGGA
rnacentral:rRNA from 1 species